rnacentral:tRNA from 1 species
GCUCGGAUGGUGGAAUUGGUAGACACGCAAGCUUGAGGUGCUUGUGCCGCGAGGUGUGGGGGUUCAAGUCCCCCUUCGAGCA